rnacentral:lncRNA from 1 species
CUGGAGGGCAGGGGCUGAUAUCCAGGGGCAUACGAGAUGUUCCCAGAGGUUGUGAAAGCAACGAGAUCCACGCUCACUGUCAAACCUUGGAGCAGACACUUGGGAAAAACACUGCUUUUGUUCCAGAGAAGAAGAAGACGGAAGACUAAUGACUGAAGUUAGCAUGCAACAGCUCACCAUAUUACUUAACGAGCAGGGCUUUGACUGUACCUGGUGCACACAAGGCAUUACUUCUCUCCUGGACCCAUGGCUGACUCAUUCUGCUUUGGACUGCAACAUAAAGACCCAGCCAAUGAAAAGUUAAUGUCUCCAAGGGAAACAAACA